AUUGAACGCUGGCGGAAUGCUUUACACAUGCAAGUCGAGCGGCAGCGCGGGGCAACCUGGCGGCGAGCGGCGAACGGGUGAGUAAUGUAUCGGAACGUGUCCUUGAGUGGGGGAGUAGCCCGGUCGAAAACCGGAAUUAAUACCGCAUACGCAGGAGACUGGAAAGACGGGGAGUCGCAAGACCUCGCGCUCUAGGAGCGGCCGAUAUCCGAUUAGUUUGUUGGUGAGGUAAAGGCUACCAAGGCGAUGAUCGGUAGCUGGUCUGAGAGGAUGAUCAGCCACACUGGGACUGAGACACGGCCCA
rnacentral:rRNA from 1 species